rnacentral:misc_RNA from 1 species
GACUUAGUUUGUUCGAAGACCAAUUCUCAAUCUUGUUAUCUGGCAAGAUCAUUUGUCCAUGGCGAAGAGACACCUUUAUUUUCUGAUUACUCAAAAAAUCAAGGUUCUUAUAACAAUGAUUUAACUCAAAUGGAAGGUGAUGAGAAAUUCUUUGAGGCAGCUGAAACCUUGGUUGACUAUGCUGAUUAUCAGAUACAGUCACCUGGAAAAGGUCUUGAGUAUGUAAAAUCUCAAAGUUCGCUCCAAUUGAAAAGUUUUGCACCCCCCAGUUUUUCACGUAUUGUUGGUCUGCUUCCAC